rnacentral:rRNA from 1 species
UCGAGAAUCUUCGGCAAUGGGCGCAAGCCUGACCGAGCGACGCCGCGUGGAGGACGAAGGCCUUCGGGUUGUAAACUCCUGUCGAGGGGAAGGAAGGGACGGUGCAGAGCCGUCCUUGACCGCUCCCUGGAGGAAGCACGGGCUAAGUUCGUGCCAGCAGCCGCGGUAAGACGAACCGUGCGAACGUUAUUCGGAAUCACUGGGCUUAAAGCGCGUGUAGGCGGGCUGUCACGUCGGGCGCUGAAAUCCCCCGGCUCAACCGGGGAACGGGCACCGAUACGAGCAGCCUGGAGGGGAGUAGGGGGACCUGGAACUUCCGGUGGAGCGGUGAAAUGCGUUGAGAUCGGAAGGAACGCCCGUGGCGAAAGCGAGGUCCUGGGCUCUUACUGACGCUGAGACGCGAAAGCCAGGGGAGCGAACGG